rnacentral:rRNA from 1 species
ACACCGGCGGCCCGAGUGGUGAUCGUGAUUAUUGGGUCUAAAGGGUCCGUAGCCGGUUUGGUCAGUCCUCCGGGAAAUCUGACGGCUCAACCGUUAGGCUUUCGGUGGAUACUGCCAGACUGGGAACCGGGAGAGGUAAGAGGUACUGCAGGGGUAGGAGUGAAAUCUUGUAAUCCCUGUGAGACCACCUGUGGCGAAGGCGUCUUACCAGAGCGGGUUCGACGGUGAGGGACGAAAGCUGGGGGCACGAACCGGAUUAGAUACCCGGGUAGUCCCAGCCGUAAACGAUGCUCGCUAGGUGUCAGGCAUGGCGCGACCGUGUCUGGUGCCGCAGGGAAGCCGUGAAGCGAGCCACCUGGGAAGUACGGCCGCAAGGCUGAA